CCUACGGGUGGCAGCAGUGAGGAAUAUUGGUCAAUGGGCGCGAGCCUGAACCAGCCAAGUAGCGUGAAGGAUGACUGCCCUACGGGUUGUAAACUUCUUUUAUAAAGGAAUAAAGUGAGGCACGUGUGCCUUUUUGUAUGUACUUUAUGAAUAAGGAUCGGCUAACUCCGUGCCAGCAGCCGCGGUAAUACGGAGGAUCCGAGCGUUAUCCGGAUUUAUUGGGUUUAAAGGGAGCGUAGAUGGGUUGUUAAGUCAGUUGUGAAAGUUUGCGGCUCAACCGUAAAAUGGCAAUUGAUACUGGCAGCCUUGAGUACAGUUGAGGUAGGCGGAAUGCGUGGUGUAGCCUUGAAAUGCUUAGAUCUCGCGAAGAACUCCGCUUGCGCAGGCAGCUUACUAAACUGCCACUGACAUUGAUGCUCGAAAGUGUGGGUAUCAAACAGGAUUAGAUACCCUUGUAGUC
rnacentral:rRNA from 1 species